UACGUAGGGUGCGAGCGUUAAUCGGAAUUACUGGGCGUAAAGCGUGCGCAGGCGGUUUUGUAAGCCAGAUGUGAAAUCCCCGGGCUUAACCUGGGAAUGGCAUUUGGGACUGCAAGGCUUGAGUGCGGCAGAGGAGACUGGAAUUCCGCGUGUAGCAGUGAAAUGCGUAGAUAUGCGGAGGAACACCGAUGGCGAAGGCAAUCCCCUGGACCUGUACUGACGCUCAUGCACGAAAGCGUGGGGAGCAAACAGG
rnacentral:rRNA from 1 species